UUGUGUCAGCCGCCGCGGUAAUACGUAGGGUGCGAGCGUUAAUCGGAAUUACUGGGCGUAAAGCGUGCGCAGGCGGUUUCGUAAGACAGAUGUGAAAUCCCCGGGCUUAACCUGGGAACUGCAUUUGUGACUGCGAGACUAGAGUGCGGCAGAGGGGGGUAGAAUUCCACGUGUAGCAGUGAAAUGCGUAGAUAUGUGGAGGAAUACCGAUGGCGAAGGCAGCCCCCUGGGUCGACACUGACGCUCAUGCACGAAAGCGUGGGGAGCAAACAGGAUUAGAUACCCUGGUAGUCCACGCCCUAAACGAUGUCAACUAGGUGUUGGGGGAGGAGACUUCCUUAGUACCGCAGCUAACGCGUGAAGUUGACCGCCUGGGGAGUACGGCCGCAAGGUUGAAACUCAAAUGAAUUGACGG
rnacentral:rRNA from 1 species